UAAAUAAUGGUUAGUGGCGGGACGGGUGAGUAACACGUUAGUACCUCGACCCCAAAGGUGGGGAAUAACCCGGCGAAAGUCGGGCUAAUACCGCAUAUGAUCCUUCGGGAUUAAAGCCUUCGGGCGCUUUGGGAGGGGCUUGCGUCUGAUUAGCUAGUUGGUAAGGUAACGGCUUACCAAGGCUAUGAUCAGUAGCUGGUUCGAGAGGAUGACCAGCCACACUGGGACUGAGAUACGGCCCAG
rnacentral:rRNA from 1 species